GACUCGGUAGCGGAUGGCCCGCGUCCACUUAACAUGAGCUCGGUUGGAGCCCUACAUGUGGAAGCCGCCUGUUCGAAUCAGGCCCGAGUCC